CGCCAGACUCCUACGGGAGGCAGCAGUGAGGAAUAUUGGUCAAUGGUCGGGAGACUGAACCAGCCAAGCCGCGUGAGGGAUGAAGGUACAGAGUAUCGUAAACCUCUUUUGUCAGGGAACAAAGGCGGGGACGCGUCCCCGGAUGAGUGUACCUGAAGAAAAAGCAUCGGCUAACUCCGUGCCAGCAGCCGCGGUAAUACGGAGGAUGCGAGCGUUAUCCGGAUUUAUUGGGUUUAAAGGGUGCGUAGGCGGAGUGUCAAGUCAGCGGUAAAAUUUCGGGGCUCAACCCCGUCGUGCCGUUGAAACUGACGCCCUUGAGUGAGUGAGAAGUAAGCGGAAUGCGUGGUGUAGCGGUGAAAUGCAUAGAUAUCGCGCAGAACCCCGAUUGCGAAGGCAGCGUACCGGCUCCACACUGACGCUGAGGCACGAAAGCGUGGGUAUCGAACAGGAUUAGAUACCCCGGUAGC
rnacentral:rRNA from 1 species